AGAGUUUGAUCCUGGCUCAGGAUGAACGCUGGCGGCGUGCUUAACACAUGCAAGUCGAACGGUGCCUUCGGGCACAGUGGCGAACGGGUGCGUAACACGUAGACAAUCUGCCCCGGAGCGGGGGAUAACCACUGGAAACGGUGGCUAAUACCGCGUACGCUCGAAAGAGGAAAGGCCUUCGGGUCGCUCUGGGAGGAGUCUGCGGCCUAUCAGCUAGUUGGCGAGGUAACGGCUCACCAAGGCGAUGACGGGUAGCUGGCCUGAGAGGGUGGUCAGCCACAUGGGGACUGAGAAACGGCCCCAACUCCUACGGGAGGCAGCAGUGAGGAAUAUUGCCCAAUGGGGGAAACCCUGAGGCAGCAACGCCGCGUGGAGGAUGACGUCCUUCGGGAUGUAAACUCCUUUUCAGGGGGAGCAGGAAGGAGCGUACCCCUGGAAGAAGUCACGGCUAACUACGUGCCAGCAGCCGCGGUAACACGUAGGUGACAAGCGUUAUCCGGAUUUACUGGGCGUAAAGGGUCCGUAGGUGGCGAUCGAGGUCUGUUGUGAAAUCUCCCGGCUCAACUGGGAGGAGCCAAUGGAAACCGGGUCGCUAGAGUCACACAGAGGUCACUCGAAUUCCCGGUGUAGUGGUGGAAUGCGUAGAGAUCGGGAGGAAGACCAGAGGCGCAAGCGGGUGACUGGGUGAUGACUGACACUGAGGGACGAAAGCGUGGGGAGCGAACAGGAUUAGAUACCCCGGUAGUCC
rnacentral:rRNA from 1 species